rnacentral:rRNA from 1 species
GACGAACGCUGGCGGCGUGCCUAAUACAUGCAAGUCGAGCGCAGGAAACUGACGGAACUCUUCAGAGGGAAGGCAGCGGAAUGAGCGGCGGACGGGUGAGUAACACGUAAGGAACCUGCCUCAAGGAUUGGGAUAACUCCGAGAAAUCGGAGCUAAUACCGGAUAGUUCAUCGGACCGCAUGGUCCGUUGAUGAAAGGCGCUCCGGCGUCACCUUGAGAUGGCCUUGCGGUGCAUUAGCUAGUUAGUGGGGUAACGGCCCACCAAGGCGACGAUGCAUAGCCGACCUGAGAGGGUGAUCGGCCACACUGGGACUGAGACACGGCCCAGACUCCUACGGGAGGCAGCAGUAGGGAAUCUUCCACAAUGGACGAAAGUCUGAUGGAGCAACGCCGCGUGGGUGAUGAAGGUUUUCGGAUCGUAAAACUCUGUUGUAAGGGAAGAACACGUACGAGAGGGAAUGCUCGUACCUUGACGGUACCUUACGAGAAAGCCACGGCUAACUACGUGCCAGCAGCCGCAGUAA